rnacentral:rRNA from 1 species
GACGAACGCUGGCGGCGUGCUUAACACAUGCAAGUCGAACGGUGAAGCCUUUCGGGGUGGAUCAGUGGCGAACGGGUGAGUAACACGUGGGCAAUCUGCCCUGCACUCUGGGACAAGCUCUGGAAACGGGGUCUAAUACCGGAUAUGACCUGGGAGCGCAUGUUCUCGGGUGGAAAGCCCCGGCGGUGCAGGAUGAGCCCGCGGCCUAGCAGCUUGUUGGUGGGGUGAUGGCCUACCAAGGCGACGACGGGUAGCCGGCUUGAGAGGGCGACCGGCCACACUGGGACUGAGACACGGCCCUGACUCCUACGGGAGGCAGCAGUGGGGAAUAUUGCACAAUGGGCGGAAGCCUGAUGCAGCGACGCCGCGUGAGGGAUGACGGCCUUCGGGUUGUAAACCUCUUUCAGCAGGGAAGAAGCGUGAGUGACGGUGCCUGCAGAAGAAGCACCGGCUAACUACGUGCCAGCCGCCGCGGUAAAAC